AAUAUAAGAUGACCCUGAUUAUAAGACGACCCCCGUUUUUCAACACUCACAUUUAGAAAAAAAGAACUUCAUUUUAUUUGAAAAUAAAAAUAUUAAAAACACAUUGAAUUAAACACCUGUUGUAUUAAUAAUUAUAAUAAUAAUUAACAUACCGUAUUUAUCGGUAUAGGCCUACGGCAC